GCCCAAUUUCUGCCCAAGCCCAGAUACAAAAAUAACAGUUCAUUUUACAUAAAAAAACCCAAUUUUGCCAGCCCAAAUAAAACACCCACCGGGCCCAAAAUAAAAAAAACCUAGCCCAAAUGACUUUAACAGUUUCGGCAGAAGGGAACAAACCCUAAGCCCAGCGCCGCAUGCCCAGGCUCCAGCAAUGCGCGCCGUUCCACCUCCUCGCACGCCGCCACCGCCCAAGGCUCGCCAACCACCGGUCGUCCACGCGUCUGACACCUGCAAAAAUUAAAUACAAUGGCAAAAAGAAGGCACGCGGGUAGUUAACAGACAGUAAAGAAGAAGAAAGUGUUUUUUUUUAAUUCGGCUAUAAAAGCUCGAAUCUAAUCGUUGUAUUUUUUUUUACGAACGCUCAUCAGAAAAAAUCAGAAAUAAAACAAAGAUUUGAAAAUGUUGAAUCUGAUUAUUCUCAUUUGGUUUCACUGUUUUUCCUUACGUUUUUUCCUCUUUUAUUUCUUUUAUUUAUUUCUUUUGCAAGUCGGUUUUAGUAAAAAUUAAUAAUAAUAAAAAGAAAAGAAAAGAAUACCCGAAUCGGCACUUGGACUGGCCGGCGAUGGUCCUUUGCCGUCGUCGGGUUCAGGCUCGAGAGGGGCCAGAGGUCUUGUUUUCUCCUCGACUCCCUUCCAAAAGUUCGGGCCCUCUGAGUAGACUUCCACGGAUCGAGAACUCCAUCGCGCGAGGCCGGCCACCGGCCAUGGCGGUGACUUGGAGCGGUCUAGAAAAGGGAUUGAGGGGAUUUGGGGUUCUUGGAUUGUCUGAAAGAAGGGAGAAAGAAAUGGGGGUUGAUUUCUUUUAGGGCUUUAUUUUUUUUAUUCAUAAGAUUCCAUACGGCGCCGUUUAGGGGAGGAAGACCUACGCACUAUUGCCCUAAUGGGAAAUUUGCGUCUUUGGUCCCUCUAAUCCCGCGGCGUAUUCAAUGCUGCCUUUUGUUUCAUUUUAAUUUUGGCCACAUAUUUUUCGUUUGUUCCAAUCUGGUCCACGUUAAACGAUGCGCGCAGGGGACCAGAAAUAUUGCGCAGUCGGCCCCCAUGUCCUCAGCGCAUUUCAUUUUGGCCCUCCGUUCCUUUUUAUUUUUUAAAAAUUAUCCCUUCAAUUUUAUUUUGAUUCCAAUCAUACACUUUAACCCCCAUUUCUUGUUUAUAUAUACGUUUUUUUCUUUUUUACUGCUUUUGUUUCUAUUUUAUAGUAUUUAAGAGUUCCUUUUAUGAUAUUAUUGUAAACUGUUUUAAACUCAUCAUUAUUUAUUCCAAGUUUUCAUAUAUACGUUAUUUAUUUUAAAUAUAUACAUAUACAUAUCUUUCAAAUUUUUUUAUAUAUACAUAUUCUUUUGAAAACGAAUGCCAUGUAUAUUUAUUAUUUUAUUUUUAUUUGUGUUAAGUUUUCCUAAAGUUGUUUAUAUAAUUUUUUAUUAUUUAUUUUUGAGUCAUUCUUAAUUCAUUUAUUUUAAAUUAUUAUUUACUUUAAAUUGAUUUAUAUGUUAUCUUGUCUUAUUUUCAUUUGAUUAUUAAUAUUGGUUGAAGUAAUAUGCAUUGGGUGUUCAUUGUUAUUAUGUGUACCAUAAUUUGUUCCUUCAUAUUCAUNNNNNNNNNNNNNNNNNNNNNNNNNNNNNNNNNNNNNNNNNNNNNNNNNNNNNNNNNNNNNNNNNNNNNNNNNNNNNNNNNNNNNNNNNNNNNNNNNNNNUUAUAUAUUAUCAUUCCAUUUCGUUUCAUCAUUUCAAAGUCGCAUUCAUUUUUUUUUUCUUCACAACCUAAUAAAUAUAUUUCGUUCAAAUGUUGUACACGUUAUUAUUCAAAAAAAUCAUAAUUUCAAAUAAGGUAAUAUUUUGUAUUUUGGAAAUUUGAGAAAUUGUACCCUAUCUUACUGGGUCUCGAUUUUCUCGUUAAUCCUCAAUGGCGAAAUAUCCUUUUAAUUUUCCAAACACAAAAUUUCAAAAAUAAAGGUAAUAUUCUAUAUUUAGAAAAUUCGAGAAAUCGUGCCCUAACUUACUGGGCUUCGAUUUUUUCGCGUUGAUCCUAAAUAAUCGAAUAUNNNNNNNNNNNNNNNNNNNNNNNNNNNNNNNNNNNNNNNNNNNNNNNNNNNNNNNNNNNNNNNNNNNNNNNNNNNNNNNNNNNNNNNNNNNNNNNNNNNNUAAAAAGACAAGCUUACUCUCAAAAUACGAGGUGUCGUGUCCUAACUCACUGGAUGUGACAUCUUGUUACUUCGAGAUAAGGAGGCAUUUUUCAUUUUGAUUUGUUCGGGUAUUUUUAAAAUAACACAAUAUAAAGAGGGAUCGUAUUUUUAAAUUAUUUUCAAGUUUUUUUUAAUUUUCGACAUCAAGACAUUAAAUAAUCAACUAGGUACCAAUUUUGGGCGUUACGAGGGUGCUAAUCCUUCCUCGUGCGUAACCGACUCCCGAACCCGUUUUCUGAAUUUCGUAGACCAAAAUCGUUGUUUUAAUAAAAAUUAAAUCGUUUAUUAAAAACAACCACUUUUCAAGGUGACUCGAUCACACCUCAUCAAAAAAGAUUGGUGGCGACUCUCAUUUUUGUUUUUAUUUUUAAAACCCAAGUCGACCCCGUUUUUCAAUCAAAAAAAUGGUGUCAACAGCUUGGCGACUCCACUGGGGAAGAAACACGAGAGUCAAGCCAUGAGUUGAUUACUUUUUGUCUUUUUAUCGAAAAUUAAAAAUUUGGUUUAAAUUUACGAUCCUUUCGUUGCAUUUGCAUUCGUCUUUGUUACAAUCUUCAUCAUUGUGGUUUUAUAAUUGUAAUGUUGGUUUAAGUUUUGAUGUAUUUUUGCACAUUGCAUUGCAUGACCUUGGGUCACCCCUUUUAAGUGGGAGUGAGAUGCUAUUUCCUUCGUGAGGUCUUCACCUCCGUGCAGGAUAGCGAAUCGCUUUCGGGAUACAUCCGUACCUAUGUCUUCGUGAGAUUUUCAUCUCCGUGCAGCCAUAGGGAAAUGUAUUCCCCUGAACCGAACUCAAUCCGUAUGAGCUUAUAAUGGGUGAGGAUCGAGGAAUCUGUUGGUUCGGGUACCUUUACUUUAGAGCCGAACCGCAUAUAGUGAGCCCUAAGAGCCUACCCUAGGUAGAAUCAUCUCGACCCCUAGUGGUUUCCUGAAUAGUAGCUUUAAUUAUUAUUCCUUGUAUACUUUGAAUUUUAGUUUAUUGUUGUACUGACUUGCUUUUCUUUUACCUUAAUUGUGAUUGCAUGACAUUCUCAUCAUAAAGGAGGUGUCGAUUCACGUUCAGUAUUUAAAUAGAGAGCUCAACAUGGAAAGGGAGUUUCUUGGUAAAGUGGAAGAUAAUGCGGCCGUCCGAGUUUGGUCCGAAAAAGUUCAGCGAGAAAAGGGUGAUAGCCUCGUGGAAGGAUACGUGUCAGAGUUAUAGGACUUCACUCGAAUCAGCGUAACUCAAAACAGCCUACAAGAACUAAAGGAAAUUUGGGAUCAGUGGAGUGAUGAUGUCAGACAGCUCUUCUAUAGUAACUAUGGUGAUUUGCCUUAUCUACUCGACGUAAAGAUAGACAAACACUUGUUUCGAGCCCUUGUGCAGUAUUGGAAUCCGACCUACAGUUGUUUCACGUUUGGGAAAGUAGAUUUGGUACCUACAAUAGAAGAAUAUACGGCCUUGCUACGGUGUCCGAGGAUCCAAGUCGAUAGGGCCUAUUCGAGAGCGGCAUAUGUCCCGAACUUCUUGAAGAAAUUAAUGAGUAUUACAGGGAUGAGCGAGCAAUGGGUUACAGCCCGGAUUAAGCAAAAAAGAGACAACAAGUGCAUGCCUUGGAAAAAUCUGCGAGAUCUGAUCUUGGCACAUCCGGAUGUGAGAAAAAGGGUCGACAUUUUCGCUUUCAGCAUUUAUUGUUUGGUCAUUUUCCCCAAGGCAUUAGGGCAUGUGGACGAAGCAGUUUCAGAUUUGUUUGACAGGCUUGACAAGAGGGUCACACUGGUUCCGGCAAUUUUGGCUGAAACCUUCAGAUCUCUAAGUGCAUGUCGAAGAGCGGGUGAAGGAAGGUUCAUCGGAUGCGCGCAAUUGUUAUUAGUGUGGUUCCAUAGUCACUUUUGGAAAGUAGAGAAGAUCUCCUACCAGGUAUUCUCUGAAGACUAUCCCCCAUUAAAAGAAUUAGAGGCUACGCCAAGACGAGACGAUAUCACGGAAGAGAAGUGGUUGGUGAUUCUCUAAAACCUUCAAGAGGAGGCUGUCGAGUGGAGAGCCCCAUGGAUGAUCCCUAGUGAAAUUCUGUAUCGGUGUGGAGAGUUCAAUUGGGUUCCUUUGCUUGAAAUUUGGGGAGCCGUUGGAUACGUCCCUUUGCUGGUCUUGAGGCAGUACAGGUCUAGGCAGUUCAUACCGGUGACACAUGGGUUGGCUCAGUGCGAAUUUUCAUUCAAAGAGGAUAAUUACAAGAAGAAGGUUCGUGAAAUAUCAAAUGCUUGGAACCAAAUCCAUAGAAUGAAGAUAUUUGCUGUAAACCCGAUGACAACUCCCGAGUAUAAUUCAUGGUGGGGAAGAAGAAUCAAUGAUAACAUCCCCGUAUCAAGCCAAGAGGAUGUUCGACUGAUAGAAGAAUAUCUACAAGUGGUUCCGUCGGAACUUGAAAUCAUUAAACAGGACUUCGAAAGGAGAAGUUCGGAAUUGGGAAAGAAAAUUGAGCAAUUAGAAGAAGAAAAGAUGCGUUUGGGAUUAGAUGUCGAUAUUCACAAGUUGGAAGCCGAGAAGUUAAGGAAAGGGAAAAAUAAGGCUGAAGAAGAUUUAGAUAGUUUGAAAACGGAUUAUAAAAAGCUGCGAGUGUCGAUAAGAACUGCCGGUUUGGGUAAAACGUCAGAGUAGUGGCGACAUGAGAUCAAAGAAGAAAAGGCUAAAGCUGAUCAGUGGGAGAAGAAAUUUCAAGGCGCCCUAGUCCGAGAGAGUACUUUGGAGAAAAACUUGUUAGAAUGUCAGAAUGAAGAAGUAAAAUUAAAAGCCCAGGUAGCAGAGUUGGAAAAGUCGCUUUAUUUGCACCGUAUUCGCAACUCUGUGAUAGAGUUAAGAGUAAGCCUAAACAAGAUCGAAGAACUAAAAGGAAAGAUGGGAGAGCUUGAGGACGCAUUGCACAAUUCUGAACAACAAGUGGAGCUUCUUGAAAGACGUAACAAACAGUACCAGGAGCAGUUCCAUCAUGCCUAAAAUCAGAUUAGAGAUAGAGAUUACAUUAUGGGACAAGCUGUUACUCAAGUACGAGAAGUAGCUGAUCAUCUGCAAACCUUAGCAGUUCAAGCUGAUGUGCUGAGUUUAAGUUAUGAAUCAGAAUCAAGCCGAGGUCGAGAGUUAGCUCGGCUCCUUAUGAGUGUUAAGGCGUUGAGUAUAAGGGCAAAGCCGUAUAUGUAGUCCAUUUUAUGUAAAGAAAUUUGUUUUCUAAAUCGAGUUCUUCUAAUGAAAUUGAAUUAGGAUCAAUACCUCCCUUUGCAUUCAUACAUUUGUAUUACGUUUCAUUACACGCAUUAAGUUUCAUUAAAAAGGCCCUAAUUAAUCAAAAUUGUCACAGUUACCCUGGAAACCAACAAAAAUCCAACCAAAUAUCACUACGGUACUCGACGUCAAACAAAAGCAAUGGAUCAGAGGCUAGAAAGGCUAGAACAAAUGUAAAAAGAAAUGCAGGAAAAGAUGCAAGAACAAUUGGAUAAAAUCCAACAGGACGCGCUGGAAUCCCAAAGAAUUAUGAGCCAAUUGGCACAAUUAUUGGCUGAUAAAGGAAAGAGCCCUGUAAUUAAUUCGGGGGUUGAUCAGGAGGAUCCUGUUUAUCCUCCAGGUUUUACCCCGACAAGUACCCAGGCACGACUAGACAUAUGCCCACAAGGAGCACCUGGACCUCAAUAUCGGGCCGGUGCCUCGGUACCAAUGCAUUUUCAAGUAGGCUCGGGUUCUAACCCCGGUGACAACCCUACCAACCCUGUGGUCCCUAAUCUCGAUGACAUAGCAGAGAUGGAGAAAUCAAAAAUGGACCUGCCAAAACAACUAGAAGAGCGGUGUAGAUGGCUAGAGGAAAAAUUCAGAGCCAUGGAGAACAUCGACUACCAAUGUGGAGUUGACGCAAAUGAUUUAAGUUUGGUUCCUGAUCUGGUACUCCCUCCGAAAUUUAUGAUGCCGGAAUUUGAAAAAUACAACGGGACUAGUUGUCCUGGAGCUCAUAUAACUAUGUUCUGUCGAAGGAUGACAGGAUACGUCAACAAUGAUCAACUGUUAAUCCAUUGCUUCCAGGACAGUUUGAUCGGGUCUGCAACCAGGUGGUACAACUAGCUGAGUCGUGCUAAAGUCGGUUCAUGGAGAGAUUUGGCGCAAGCUUUUAUGAAGCAAUAUGGCCAUGUGACAGACAUAACAACUGAUCGAAUUACGUUAUAGAACAUGGAAAAAAAACAAAACGAGAGUUUCAGGCAAUAUGCCCAACGAUGGAGGGAAGUGGCAACGCAAGUCCAGCCACCCCUUUUGGAAAAAGAGGUCACUAUGCUUUUUAUCAACACGUUGAAGGCACCAUUCAUCAGCCACAUGUUGGGGAGUGCCACCAAGAGCUUCUCGGAUAUGGUAAUGUCCGGUGAAAUGAUUGAAAACGCAAUGAAGAGCGGUAAAAUUGACACAGGGGAAAACUUCAAAAGAUCGGCCCCAAGGAAGAAGGAUGGCGAAGUGAACAAUGUAAGCACAUAUAGCAAGAGCCAUUCAAAACUGAUUACCGUUGGCCCCCCAAAAAUGAUAACUACCGGUUACCAGGUCCCCUCAAGGCAGGAGCUCAACACAAGGCCCAACACAAGGACUAACACAGAGAGAUUUCAAUUCACGCCCAUUCCAAUAACCUACGGGGAACUGUAUCAGAAGCUAUUUGAUGCGCACAUAGUAUCUCCACAUUAUUUAGAGCCCAUGCAACCUCCAUACCCUAAAUGGUAUGACAUGAAUGCCCAAUGUGAAUACCAUGCAAGGAUACCGGGGCACUCGAUUGAGAACUGCACUGCGUUUAAAAAGACGGUGGAAAGAUUCAUUAAUAUGGGGAUCGUAAAGUUUGACAACCCAUCGGGACCAAACGUGGCAGGGAAUCCGUUACCCAAUUUUUCUGAUAAUGGAGUAAAUGCAAUAAUUGAGAAUGGGGGAAGGAGAAUCAAAGAUGACAUUACGAAUGUGAAUACCCCACUGAAAUGGGUUUGGAGACAAAUGACAAAGGUAGGUCUAAUCAAGCAAGAAUCAAAGGAAAGGCCCGAAGGAAUAAAGAAAUAUUGCGAGUUCCAUGCUAAAGAGGACCAUGACAUUCAAAACUGUACUGAAUUCAGGGCCAUGGUACAAAAUCUGAUGAACAACAAAGAGCUAGAAUUUUAUGAGGAGAUCAAAGGACUAGAAGAAUGAGAAGUUUUUGCCUCGGAGGAAGGACCUACGGGAAAAGCCCAAAAUCACCCGGUGGUAAUUAUUUCAAGGCCAAGAAACACAGGAUCAGGAAUACAACUGGCGCCGAGGGUCGUAAUCCAAAAACCUAUAGCCUUUCCUUACCAGGAUAGCAAAAAGGUUCCUUAGAAUUAUAAUUGCAAUGUGAUGAUCCCGGGGAAGGAAAACCUGAUAAAUGCUUUAGAAGAGGGUAAUGAUGUAGGUUUUUAUACGCGCAGCGGAAAACGCUACGACCCGACAAAUACAAAAGGAGAGCCUACAAAAGGAAAAGCUGUGGCAGUUGAACAAGACAAAGCAAAGACGGCCAGAAUGAGAUCACAAGUUAAUGAACCCGUGACUAAGAAUGAGGCUAGAGAAUUCUUAAAAUUCUUGAAGCACAGCGAGUACAGCAUGGUGGAGCAACUACAUAAGCAAUCAGCUCGUAUAUCAGUGCUCGAGUUACUUCUAAGUUCGGAGACACAUCGUAAUGCGCUGAUAAAAGUGCUAAAUGAGUCUUAUGUUGCUAACGAUAUCUCUGUGAGCAAGCUGGAUCGCCUGGUUAAUAACAUAAAUGCCGAUAACUUCAUUUUCUUCAACGAUGAUGAGAUUCCGCCAGGUGGUAUGGGAUCUACCAAGGCCUUACACAUCACUGCCCGUUGCAAGGGGUGUACACUACCGGGGGUGCUCAUUGAUAAUGGAUCGGUACUGAAUGUUUUACCCCUAUCCACAUUAAACAGGCUACCUGUGGAUAGUUCUCACAUGAAAUCAUGCCAAAAUAUAGUGAGAGCAUUUGAUGGCACUGAAAAAAAAGUGAUGGGAAGAAUCGAGAUACCUCUAUUGAUUGGUCCAAGUACAUACGAGGUGGACUUUUUGGUAAUGGACAUCAAACCAUCUUACAAUUGCUUAUUAGGGAGGCCUUGGAUCCAUUCUGCAGGGGCUGUACCAUCGUCAUUUCACCAAAAGUUGAAAUUGGUGGUAGAGGGUCGAUUGGUGACUAUAGGUGCGGAAGAAGACAUCAUUGCAUCAGUCACCGAUGAUAUGCCAUACAUAGAGGCCGAUAGUGAAGCGAUAGAAUGUUCAUUCCGAUCAUUGGAAUUCGUAAAUGCCACAUUUGUCAUCGAGAGGAGCAAAAUCCCGGAGCCUAAGAUAUCCAAAGCUACUUCAAUGAGCUUACAGCUAAUGAUGGGAAAGGGAGCGUUGCCUGGAAGAGGACUUGGAAAAUACCUCCAGGGACGGGUCAAAGUACCAAUCCUGGUUAACAAACAGGACCGUUAUGGUUUGGGAUAUAAGCCUAAUGCAAGGGAAAGGAGGAAUGAGAUGGAGAAAAAGCAAGAAAAGAGAAGGACACGUUUGAGCGGGAUAGAAGCCAAGUGGGGACCGAUAACCUUUCCCCAUAUAUCUAAAACUUUUGUUUCAGGGGGAAUUGUCUACCCUGACGAGAAGGAUGAGGUUACAGAAGGAAGGAUCGGAAGGUUGGACAUUAAUGCCAUAUCCGCGGAAGAAAGGGUGGAAAGGAAUUUAUCGGGUAUUCGCCCUUACGAACCUGGUAGCGUUCUGAAUAACUGGACUGCAGAAGAGAUCCCUGUAACAUUUAGAACUAAUUCAGAGUAAUGUUCAGAACACUUGUUGCCCUAAGCCUGGGGGUAACAAGAAUCUUUUGUAAAAGGCACAUGUCCAAAAUCUAAUUUCAAUGAAAACUUAUCAUUCAGUCUCACCUUGAGCAAAUAUUCUUUCAUUCUUUUUCAUUCCAUUUUAUAAUCAUACUGUGCAUACAAGUAUUCUUAGAUUCUUUUAUUUGGGCCUCUUUUCGUCCCAAUAACAGGUCUUCAGAUAUCAACGAGAUGAGCGACGCUGUUACUGACUCAAGAUCCCUUUUUGAACAAGACGUGAGUAUAGAUGAUCCUCAGGAUUUUGAAGAUGACCAAGACAGCGUUUUAUCUCCAGAUCUGUUGAGAAUGGUGGAGGAAGAAGAAAAACAAAUCCUACCCUAUAAGGAAUCAGUAGAAGUCGUGAGCUUAGAAGAUGGAAGGAAUGUAAAGAUUGGUACUGGCAUUACUAAGGAAACAAGGCGAGACCUCGUUGAGUUACUUCAAGAGUUUAAAGAUGUCUUCGCAUGGUCCUAUCAAGAUAUGCCGGGGUUGAGUACUGAUAUCGUGGUACACCGACUGCCUAUAAAGGAAGAAUGUAAGCCAGUUCAACAAAAGCUUCGAAGGAUGAGGCCUGAUGUCUUGCUAAAAAUAAAGGAAGAAGUUAAGAAGCAGUUUGAUGCUGGUUUCUUACAGGUGGUCAAGUAUUCAGAAUGGGUAGCCAAUAUAGUCCCUGUUCCUAAGAAAGAUGGGAAGGUUCGAAUGUGUGUGGACUACAGAGACUUGAACAAAGCCAGCCCAAAAGAUAAUUUCCCACUGCCUCAUAUCGAUACCUUGGUGGACAACACGGCUGGAUACUCCCUUUUCUCCUUCAUGUAUGGCUUCUCAGGAUACAACCAGAUAAAAAUGCAUCAUAAAGACAUGGAAAAGACUACAUUCAUAACUAUGUGGGGAACGUUUUGUUACAAGGUGAUGCCAUUCGGAUUGAAAAAUACCGGGGCAACUUAUCAAAGAGCCAUGGUAACCCUAUUCCAUGACAUGAUGCACAAGGAGAUCGAAGUCUAUGUUGACGACAUGAUUGCGAAGUCUAGAACUGAAAAAGAGCAUGUACAAGUGUUGAGAAAAUUGUUCCUAAGGUUAAGAAAAUUCCAGCUAAAACUUAACCCAGCCAAGUGUACUUUCGGGGCUAGAUCAGGAAAGCUGCUGGGAUUCUUAGUCAGCGAAAGGGGAAUUGAAAUCGACCCAGACAAAGUUAAAGCCAUACAAGAAUUACCUCCGCCAAGUACUCAAAAAGAAGUUCGAGGUUUUCUGGGAAGACUAAAUUACAUCGCUCGAUUCAUUUCGCAGUUAACUGAGAAAUGUGACCCCAUCUCCCGUCUUCUUAGGAAACACAAUCCCGGUGUAUGGGACGAGGAGUGCCAGAAGACUUUUGAAAAAGUUAAACAUUACCUGUCCAAUGCCUCAGUACUAAUGCCACCAUGCCCGGACAAGCCACUGAUACUAUACUUGACAGUAUUUGAAAAUUCCAUGGGGUGUGUGCUCGGCCAACAUGAUGAGUCAGGACGGAAAGAAAGAGCAAUCUACUAUCUCAGCAAGAAGUUCACUGAAUAUGAAACGAGAUACUCAACAAUUGAAAAAUUAUGCUGCGCCUUGGUCUGGACUACGCGGAGAUUGAGAAAUACAUGUUAUACCAUACGACUUGGUUAAUCUCAAAGUUAGACCCUCUGAAGUACAUGAUAGAAUCGACUGCUCUAAACGGAAGGAUGGCCCGGUGGCAAAUUUUACUGUCUGAAUUUGACAUAGUUUAUGUGAGUCAAAAGGCUAUAAAAUGGGGCGCAAUAACAGAUUUUUUGGCUAGCAGAGCUUUAGAAGAUUAUGAGCCUUUGAGCUUUGAUUUUCCAAAUGAGGAUCUGAUGUAUGUAGCAACCGCUGAAGAUGAUAGCCAAAGAGGCGAUGUUUGGAAAUUAAACUUCGACGGAGCUUCAAACGCCGUAGGCAACGGAAUUGGGGCAGUCUUGGUAUCUCCGAAUGGAGAUUAUUAUCCAUUCACCAGCAAAUUAGACUUUGAUUGCACAAAUAACAUGGCAGAGUACGAAGCAUGCAUUAUGGGUAUCCGUGCGGCUAUUGAACGUAAAAUCAAAGUACUAGAAGUGUAUGGAGAUUCCGCACUUGUAAUCUAUCAGCUCAAAGGCGAAUGGGAGACAAGGGAUCCCAAAUUGAUCAGUUACCGAAAGCUGGUUCUCGAAUUGAUUGAAGAAUUUGAUGAUAUCACUUUCUGUUAUCUCCCGCGAGAUGAGAAUCAAAUGGCCGAUGCUUUGGCUACAUUGGCUUCCAUGAUGAAAGUAAAUAAAUAAGAGGAUGUAAAGCCUAUCCAAAUGAGCAUUUAUAAUGCUCCAGCCCACUGUUGUAACGUUGACGAGGAAGAGGAAAAAGAUGACAACCCUUGGUAUCAGGACAUAUUACGAUAUGUGAAAAAUCAUGAAUACCCGAGCCAAGCAACUGAGAAUGACAAGAGAACGUUGAGAAGGCUGGCUAAUGACUACGUCUUAGAUGGAGAGAUCCUGUACAAAAGAGGAAAGGAUCAGGUGCUGUUAAGAUGUGUGGACGCUGUGGAGGCCAAGCAGAUCUUAGAAGAAGUCCAUGAUGGUAUUUGUGGAACACACGCUAACGGUUUCACAAUGGCCAGACAAAUCAUGAGAUUCGGAUAUUAUUGGUCUACCAUGGAAGGAGAUUGCAUCAAAUAUGCUAAGAAGUGCCAUAAAUGCCAGAUUUACGGAGACAAAAUUCAUGUGCCUCCCUCACCUCUUCACGUCAUGACUUCCCCAUGGCCUUUCUCCAUGUGGGGCAUGGACGUCAUUGGACCAAUAUCGCCAAAGGCUUCAAACGGACAUCGUUUCAUUUUUGUAGUGAUUGACUACUUUACUAAGUGGGUAGAGGCUACUUCUUACGCCAACGUCACAAAGGUAGCCGUCGGCAAGUUUCUAAAAAAGGAAAUCAUAUGUCGGUAUGGAAUGCCCGAAAGGAUUAUAUCUGACAACGCAUUGAACUUGAACAAUAGCACGAUCGCAGAAGUCUGUAGUCAAUUCAAGAUCAAGCACCACAACUCAUCACCAUAUCGUCCAAAAAUGAAUGGCGCGGUGGAGGUGGCCAAUAAGAAUAUCAAGAAGAUUGUGAGGAAAAUGACUGAGACCUAUAAAGAUUGGCACAAGAAGUUACCAUUCGCCCUCUAUGCUUGUCGAACGUUAGUCAGGACUUCCACCGGGGCAACACCAUUUUCUUUGGUUUAUGGAAUGGAGGCGGUGCUACCAAUUGAGGUUGAAAUCCCUCUCUUCGAGUGUUAUCAGAGCUAAAGUUAGAUGAGGCAGAAUGGGUCCAAUCCCGAUAUGACCAGCUAAACUUGAUUGAAGGAAAGAGGCUGAAAGCUGUCCGUCAUGGUCAAAUGUACCAGAAGCGAAUGAUACGAGCUUACAAUAAGAAAGUUCGUCCUAGGGACUUCCUUGAAGGGGACUUGGUAUUGAAGAAGAUCCUUCCCAUACAAAAAGACUUUAGAGGAAAGUGGAUGCCAAACUGGGAGGGACCUUAUGUAGUAAAGAAAGCCUUUUCGGGAGGGGCAUUAAUUUUAACCGAGAUGGAUGGCAAAAGCUUGCCCAAUCCUGUGAAUUCAGAUUCAGUGAAGAAGUACUUUGCCUAAAAAAAAAAGGAGAGGCUAAGGCGAAAACCCGUAAAGGGCACCUUGAGACCAAAGGGGUUUUGAAUUGAAAACCCAGGAAUGGGCAGUUUAAAUUUUUGAUCAAAGAUGAGGCAUACGGUAAUCUUGUCUUCUCUGGAUUAACAAAAAGGAGAGAUGCUACACCUCGGGGCAUCAACAAAGUCUUCUAGGACUUCUAAACACAUAUCAAGUUUAAAAAGGGUCCUCAAGAAGUUUGUGCGGAGAAGCUCAUACUGCGAUAUCUGGGGCACCUGUUUUUAUCUUAUUCAUUUUUAUAUCUUAGCAAAAAAUUUUAUUUGUUCAUUUAGAGUUUUGCUCUCAAUAAAUUUCCAUCUUAUCCAUUGUGAUGAUCUUUUUCAUCUUAUUCAUCUCGUAUCUCAGCAAAAUUUGCUAUCUUGAUUGAUUUAUUCAUUUCGAGCUUUGCUCUCAACAAAAUCUCAUCUUGUCCAUUUUGAUAAUCUUUUUCAAGCAUUUUUCAUUGAAAUAACGAUUACUGGACUAAUAAUAUUCAAGCAGAAUGAGUUCUACAUAUUACUCUGAAAGCUUCUAAAUAGUACGAGGACCUAAAACAGGACUGUUGUUUAGAACUGACCAAACUUAAGGGUUAGAAGCAUUGGAGGAAGAAUAGUCUAACUUGCAACUAUUUCCUUGGUUUUUCUGUCAAAGAUGCCAACUAAACGAGAAGGCAUCGGUGAUAGAACCUUUAAUAAAUUUCGAGUAAUGACAACCCAAACAUUAAAACGAGAUCAUUCUCAUGACAUUCUACAUUCAUACACAUCUAGUUAGGAGCAUUUGAUUUAUUCUGAUCAUGUCAUCCUAAACACUAGGCAUAAAUAGGUCUAUAAAACUGAUUUUAUAGGUCAUGUUCCCAGAGAACGGAUUGAAGAUGCAGAUCUUGUCUUCCCAUAUUGGUGGCGAAGUAGAUCGAAGAAAACAGAUCUUGUCUUCAUGUAUUGGCGUGUAGUGGAUCGAAGAUAGCAGGUCCUAUCUUCUUAUAUUGGUAGGAAGUGGAUCGAAGAUGCAGAUCCUGUCUUCCCAUACAGGUGGCGAAGUGGAUCGAAGAAGCAGAUCUUGUCUUCAUGUAUUAGCGUGAAGUGGAUCAAAGAUAGCAGGUCCUAUCUUCUUAUAUUGGUAGGAAGUGGAUUAAAAAACAGAUCUUAUCUCCCUAAGCAAUAGUGGAGCAGAUCGCAUCAAGUCUUAUCUCCCUAAGCAGUAGCGGAGCGGACAAAACCACAGAUCUUAUCUCCCUAAGCAAUAGUGGAGCAGAUCGCAUCAAGUCUUAUCUCCCUAAGCAAUAGCGGAGCGGACAAAACCACAUAUCUUAUCUCCCUAAGCAAUAGUGGAGCAGAUCGCAUCAAGUCUUAUCUCCCUAAGCAGUAGCGGACCGGACAAAACCACAGAUCUUAUCUCCCUAAGCAAUAGUGGAGCAGAUCGCAUCAAGUCUUAUCUCCCUAAGCAGUAGCGGACCGAACAAAACCAUAGAUCUUAUCUCCCUAAGCAAUAAUGGAGCAGAUCGCAUCAAGUCUUAUCUCCCUAAGCAAUAGCGGAGCGGACAAAACCACAUAUCUUAUCUCCCUAAGCAAUAGUGGAGCAGAUCGCAUCAAGUCUUAUCUCCCUAAGCAGUAGCGGAGCGGACAAAACCACAUAUCUUAUCUCCCUAAGCAAUAGUGGAGCAGAUCGCAUCAAGUCUUAUCUCCCUAAGCAAUAGGGGAGCGGACAAAACCACAUAUCUUAUCUCUCUAAGCAAUAGUGGAGCAGAUCGCAUCAAGUCUUAUCUCUCUAAGCAGUAGCGGAGCGGACAAAACCAUAGAUCUUAUCUCCCUAAGCAAUAGUGGACGCGAGAUCGCGUCAAGUCUUAUCUCCCUAAGCAGUAGCGGAGCGAACAAAGACACAAAUCUCAUCUCUCUGAAGUUGCAGUAGAGUUGACUAAAAUCACAAAUUUCAUCCCCACGGAGUUGCAGUAGAGUGGAUUGAAGUUAAAUCUCUCUAAAUAUGCCGCGAAGUGGAUCAAAGCGGCAAGACAUAGUAGAUUGGAAUAAGGCCACUUGAAGAAGAAAGGNNNNNNNNNNNNNNNNNNNNNNNNNNNNNNNNNNNNNNNNNNNNNNNNNNNNNNNNNNNNNNNNNNNNNNNNNNNNNNNNNNNNNNNNNNNNNNNNNNNNNNNNNNNNNNNNNNNNNNNNNNNNNNNNNNNNNNNNNNNNNNNNNNNNNNNNNUAAAAAAAAACCCAAUUUUGCCAGCCCAAAUAAAACACCCAACGGGCCCAAAAUAAAUAAAAAAACCUAGCCCAAAUGACUUUAACAGUUUCGGCAGAAGGGAGCAAACCCUAAGCCCAGCGCCGCAUGCCCAGACAAAUUUCAUCCCCACGGAGUUGCAGUAGAGUGGAUUGAAGUUAAAUCUCUCUAAAUAUGCCGCGAAGUGGAUCAAAGCGGCAAGACAUAGUAGAUUGGAAUAAGGCCACUUGAAGAAGAAAGGCAUCAAGAAGUCAGAACUCGGCGAGUACAGGCAAAAUUGGUCUUUCUUAGUCUUUGCUUUAUUCUCGUUACACGAAAAUAAGCAAAGAGGGGCAGCUGUAAAAGCCCAAUUUCUGCCCAAGCCCAGAUACAAAAAUAACAGUUCAUUUUAUAUAAAAAAAAACCCAAUUUUGCCAGCCCAAAUAAAACACCCAACGGGCCCAAAAUAAAUAAAAAAACCUAGCCCAAAUGACUUUAACAGUUUCGGCAGAAGGGAGCAAACCCUAAGCCCAGCGCCGCAUGCCCAGGCUCCAGCAAUGCGCGCCGUUCCACCUCCUCGCACGCCGCCACCGCCCAAGGCUCGCCAACCACCGGUCGUCCACGCGUCUGACA
rnacentral:lncRNA from 1 species